GACGAACGCUGGCGGCGUGCUUAACACAUGCAAGUCGAACGGGAUAAUUUGAGAGCUUGCUCUUAGAGAAUCUAGUGGCACACGGGUGAGUAACACGUAGACAACCUGCCGACAGGAUGGGGACAACAUUCCGAAAGGAAUGCUAAUACCGAAUGAAGCGGAGGAGAGGCAUCUCUCCUCCGUGAAAGAUGGCCUCUGAAUAUGCUAUCACCUGUCGAUGGGUCUGCGUCUGAUUAGCUAGUUGGUGAGGUAACGGCUCACCAAGGCGACGAUCAGUAGCCGGUCUGAGAGGAUGAACGGCCACAUUGGGACUGAGACACGGCCCAGACUCCUACGGGAGGCAGCAGUGGGGGAUCUUCCGCAAUGGGCGCAAGCCUGACGGAGCAACGCCGCGUGAGUGAAGAAGGUCUUCGGAUCGUAAAGCUCUGUUGACGGGGACGAACGUGCGAAGGGUGAAUAAUCCUUUGUAAUGACGGUACCUGUCGAGGAAGCCACGGCUAACUACGUG
rnacentral:rRNA from 1 species